rnacentral:misc_RNA from 1 species
UUUUUUUUAAAAAAAAAAAAAAUGGUCUCAUUCAAUUCCAUCUCUUGGCAUUCUUUAGUCCUUUUGAUUUAGCUUUAGCUUGCUGAAAUGCCUGCAUCUUCUGUUUCUUUCGUGCUUCCUUCUCGGCCUUAGACAUCUUGGAUUUGGCUUUAAGCUUAGGAGCUUUUUCUUCAAGCUCUGCCUCACGUUCUAGCUCUCUUUCCCUGGCAUCCAGAUUCUUUUCCAGAUAAUAAUUGUAAUCACCCGCAUAAUCCUGUAAAUUUCCGUCUUUAACUUCAAUGACUCUAUUUACAAUUUGCUUUAUAAAGUAUCGAUCAUGAGAAACAGUGAUGACAGUGCCUCUGUAUUCAGUUAUUGCCUCCUCAAGCAUCUCUUUUGAA